rnacentral:rRNA from 1 species
UCCAGACUCCUACGGGAGGCAGCAGUGGGGGAUAUUGCACAAUGGGGGGAACCCUGAUGCAGCGACGCCGCGUGGGUGAAGGAGCGUUUCGGCGCGUAAAGCCCUAUCGGCAGGGAAGAAGGAGGACGGUACCUGACUAAGAAGCCCCGGCUAACUACGUGCCAGCAGCCGCGGUAAUACGUAGGGGGCAAGCGUUAUCCGGAUUUACUGGGUGUAAAGGGGGCGCAGACGGCAGCGCAAGCCAGGAGUGAAAGCCCGGGGCCCAACCCCGGGACUGCUCUUGGAACUGCGCGGCUGGAGUGCAGGAGGGGCAGGCGGAAUUCCUGGUGUAGCGGUGAAAUGCGUAGAUAUCAGGAGGAACACCGGUGGCGAAGGCGGCCUGCUGGACUGCAACUGACGUUGAGGCCCGAAAGCGUGGGGAGCAAACAGGAUUAGAUACCCGUGUAA